rnacentral:rRNA from 1 species
GCCUAACACAUGCAAGUCGAACGCGAAAGUCCCCUUCGGGGGACGAGUAGAGUGGCGCACGGGUGAGUAACACGUAGGUAAUCUACCUUCGGAUGGGGAAUAACAACCGGAAACGGUUGCUAAUACCGCAUAAUGCAGCGGCACCUAAUGGUGACAGUUGUUAAAGCGGGGGAUCGUAAGACCUCGCGUCUGAAGAGGAGCCUGCGGCAGAUUAGCUAGUUGGUAAGGUAAUGGCUUACCAAGGCGAUGAUCUGUAGCCGGCCUGAGAGGGCGGUCGGCCACACUGACACUGACAUACGGGUCAGACUCCUACGGGAGGCAGCAGUCGGGAAUUUUGGGCAAUGGGCGAAAGCCUGACCCAGCAACGCCGCGUGAAGGAUGAAAUCCUUCGGGAUGUAAACUUCGCAAGAACGGGAAGAAUAAGUAAGAGCUAACAUCUCUUACGAUGACGGUACUGUUUGUAAGCUCCGGCUAACUCCGUGCCAGCAGCCGCGGUAAU